GGUACAACAGAGACAGCUGUUUGUCCCCCAGUAUCCUUCAGACAAAGCCAUAUAUGAUUGAAGGUUAUCAGUACUGUGCUUUUGGAGGAUUCAGAAGAAGUUAUAUCUGAUUGGGAGAUUGAAAAGGAUUGGCCUGAAGGAGAGGUGGUUUUUGAACUGCAUCUUAAAGGAUGAGGAAACUGAGGCUGAGAGGGUAGAGAACUUUGCCUGAGGUCACUCAGCAGGGACCCACCCAUCACAGUAAAUGCCAGCACUGCUGAUGCCAAAACAAUGUUAUUUGUGCCUGAACACCCUGUCCUACCUGGUCCUACCUGGAUGCUGGCCUCAGUAAGCUCCUGGGCUCAUUGAAGAUGAACCUAGCAGUAGUAUUUACACCACUUGUUGUGUGCCCACUGUGGGCCCGGCGCCAUGCCGAGUGCUCUAUGGAUGUGAGAUGAGAACACUGAAGCAGUUUUUUCUAAAGAUAGCUGCCUGGCACAGUGGCUCACAUCUGUAGUCCCAGCAUUUGGGGAGGCCAAGGCAGGUGGAUCACUUGAGGCCAGGAAUUCAAGACCAGCAUGGCCAACAUGUGCUGGGAGAGAAAAGCAUACGACAUAGACAGGGAGGUCAAGCUCCACCACGCAGAUGAGGUGCAGGCCACCAGUCUUCCUCUGCCACAUCUCUUUCUGAAAAGGACUUCACAUUCACCCUUGCAAUCCAUGUGGGGACACUGUUGGAUAGGAGGCGUGGUCCCAGCGUGGUCUCCCUGUCUGGGCCUCUGCCUAUGCCAAAUGUUUGCCUUACGCUGCACACUCAAGAGGUUCCAUGUAUACAGAUGGGAAUUCCAGAGCUACAGAAAAGGCAGCAAGCACCAUGAUUUAAGCUAACCAGUGUGGAUUCACACCUUCCUCUCUCUCUAUCAGUGGCAGAACUACCAGCUAGAGUAAGAAGUGGUUGAUCCAGGACCUAAACAUUCUGGAAACUCUUGCCCACUUCUGGGAGAAAUGACCCAAUCCAUAGUACUAAGCACACCUUAACUUUCGUAGGACGCAGGCAAGUUGUCAUACCGUGUGCCUAAAUAUAGAAAAAUGAUCCACUGGACUAAUAAAGUGUUAAAUAAAAUAUG
rnacentral:lncRNA from 1 species